AAAACACCAAACUGGGACAAUGAACAACAUUCUGCUCUCUGCCCCUGAAGAGAGCCAGUAGGCUGGAUUCUUGAUGAUGCAAGGCUGUUGUGUCAGGGUGCUGCAAAAGAAGUUCCAUCUUCUCAUCAUGGAGCUGGUGAAGUUUCACUCUGCACAGAAUACAGCACUUAUGGAUAGGAAACUUUCUUUGCAUAGUGAUUUUCUUGUUGUCUUUGAAAAUGUUAGUACUCUC
rnacentral:lncRNA from 1 species